rnacentral:rRNA from 1 species
GACGAACGCUGGCGGCGUGCUUAACACAUGCAAGUCGAACGGAAAGGCCCUGCUUUUGUGGGGUGCUCGAGUGGCGAACGGGUGAGUAACACGUGAGUAACCUGCCCUUGACUUUGGGAUAACUUCAGGAAACUGGGGCUAAUACCGGAUAGGAGCUCCUGCUGCAUGGUGGGGGUUGGAAAGUUUCGGCGGUUGGGGAUGGACUCGCGGCUUAUCAGCUUGUUGGUGGGGUAGUGGCUUACCAAGGCUUUGACGGGUAGCCGGCCUGAGAGGGUGACCGGCUACAUUGGACUGAGAUACGGACCAGACUCCUACGGGAGGCAGCAGGGGGGAAUAUUGCACAAUGGGCGGAAGCCUGAUGCAGCAACGCCGCGUGCGGGAUGACGGCCUUCGGGUUGUAAACCGCUUUCGCCUGUGACGAAGCGUGAGUGACGGUAAUGGGUAAAGAAGCACCGGCUAACUACGUG